CUCACGGGCCUCGAUGCGGCCUGCCUCCCGCCGCAGCUGCUCCACGCGGGCCUUGGCCAGGCACAGAUAAGCCUGUAGGUGAGGCCGGGUCACCGUCAGCCGCAGCAGGCACAGCGCCACCAGCACCCAGAGCCGUAACGAGUCGAAGGCCGAGUCCGACAGCCUGUGCGAAGUUGAUUACAAUAGGUAAAUGUCAAAUCACUGCAGCUGCUGAGUAGAGGACAGACUGGAGGGUGUGCCCGCAUGGAGACCUGCAGCCACAGGUGACCAUCAGAGAUGGCCCAGCUCCAGGGUCUCCUCUCGCACCACCUGAACCAGCAUGGCCAGGAGCAGGAAGAGGAAGGCGAAGGUGAGGCAGACGGAGCGCUCGCCCCCCUCCUCCGCGCUGAAGUACAACCAGGUCACCGUCAGGAACACCUUGCUGGGGGUGGGGCUAAGGAGGUCUUGAACACCUGUAGCACCCCCCAACCCUCUGCCGCCUCCUCCCAGCAGCCUCCCAGCCCCAGAGCACAAGCAUCGGUGUCUGGGUUUGGAGACUCAGCGAGCAGAGGAGUGAUCAAGGAGAGUGAGCCGUUCAUCAAGGCCAGGAUCUAAGGCCCAGGACUGCCCGCUCCUGUGGCAGCAGCGUGCGGUGUGCUGGUGGCAGGACACCUGGGCCAGGCCUCCAGCUUCGCCUCAUCACCCCACCUGUGACCAGUUAGAGAUGGCCACCAAGUCUGUCUUUUCAGGAGGUCCCACCACCCCAACCCGCCUAGGCACCCCCCAGCUGCAUCCCCCAGCAUGCAGUUUUCCUGUUCUUCUGAGAAGCUAUCAGAUACACGAGGACUGCAUCUGUGAUCUGUCCUCAGAGAGACCCUUGGGGCUUUCAGGAACCAGUGUGAACUUCAAGAUGGGCUUCCCUUUCUCACAAGCCUAUUCCACAAGGACACUGUUUCCAGCUUUUGGUUCUCAGAGUCAUAGGUCUGCCUUGGCCCUCCAUGCAGCUGAAUAAAAAUAUUGCAGAGAGCUCUCUUUGCAUACCCUUGUGUCUGGGCUGGCCCCGUGCCUUGCUUUGACCAAGAGAAUGGACAAGGACAGGGGUGGGCUGAGUUGGGCAAAGUCUCAGGCGGCCUGCAACAACCCCUCUUCCUUGCUAGCACCCCUGCUGUGAUGAGGAAGCUUGGCCCAGCCUGCUGGAAGGCAGGGCCACUUGGAGAUGAGGUGGCCCAGCUGAGCCCAGCCAUGAAAACAAUAGUGGAAGUUUUGAACUCUGGGGAGGUUUGUAGCACAGCAGCUGAUAACCGAUGCACCAAUUUAGGGCAGUCAGGGAAGCUGGAGUCUGGGUCCCACCUCCCUCUCACCUCCUCCGCGCAGGGA